rnacentral:ncRNA from 2 species
CACCCAUCGAGACCGGCUGAGGGGUAGGCCCGAAGACGCCGGGGCAACCCAUGCACGAGCAAUCGCGCAUGAAGGUGCCAAUUCCUGCGGGGACCGCGCGUCCGCCGAGAGAUGGGUC